rnacentral:tRNA from 1 species
GUCUCUGUGGCACAAUCAAUAGAGUGUUUGGCUGCCAAUGGAAAGGUUGGUGGUUUGAGCCCACCCAGGGAUG